GAGGCAUAGCUGUUGCACACAGCAAGCACCUGCAUGCUCUAAAAUCUCACAAGGCACAAGAGUCUCUGGAGUGAGCUGGCCUUGCCACAUCUUUACAAGCUUGGAAGGUAGGCAUCCCAACUCGUUGGGACAUCUCUGUCGCUUCCGUGCCGUUCUGAAUCAGUCUUUGCCCUGAUCUCAGGCUCCUUAAAUCAGCCUUUCUCAACCUGUGGGUCCCCAGAUGUUGUUGAACUACAACUCCCAUCACCCCUAGCUAGCAAGGCCAGAGCUCAGGGAUGAUGGGAGUUGUAGUCCAACAACAUCUGGGGACCCACAGGUUGAGAACCGCUGCCUUAAAUGGAGACAGCCGUUUCUAGCCUCAUCUUUCCUGCCACCUACCCUGAGCGUAGUGGCUGCUGCGACUCCUCACCUAUUGCUGAGCCUGUAAAUUUUCUCUGCCUCAGUAAAGAUCUCUUCCUUAUUCUUGUGGUUUGGGUGGGAGCCAAGACACUGGCUGUCAGCAACUUCCCCCAAAUUUCAGAAGGGAGACAUUCCCAACUCUACCUGGAGAUUGCUGGGAUAGAACCUGGAACCUUCUUCAUUCAAGGCAGACGUUCUGCGCCUGAGCUACGGACCUUUCCCUAGCAACCUGUUGAGCUUCCAAGGUGAUAGCCCUAAUCAGUUGUGGCAGUUCUUAAUCUCUCAGCCUGGCCUUUUUAGAAGCCUUCCCAGUGCUGAGCAAUAGAGACUCCCUGCUCUGCUGAAGGUCUCUCUCACUCUCUUUCUCUCUCUGUCAUACACAUUAAAAGAAAUGAUAAUCAUAACUUCUGGCUUGCCCUGCAUGGAAAAAAACCCCUUCACGAUCCUACAGCUGUUCUCACUCUGGCAUUUAUAAUUUUAUUACUCAAAUAUGAGCUUUUGUUCACCGUCCAAGCGUAAUGAAAACAUAAUAUUUCAAUAUAAAAAUCCCCAUUUACCUUUCAAGCCGCUUUCCUGUCCAACAACGUUCCCUAGCAAUUUGUGUCCAAGCUGGGUCUCUCUCCCAUUAUUCAUGCCUUCCCUGGGCUCGUUCACAUUAAUAGGUGCUAAUUCUCCCUCUGUGACAUCAUCAGGGGUUCCCACGGCAACCAGCUGUGAUGUCACAAACACAAGACAAUGGCCCCUGGCGAAGAAGGGGAAGCCUGCGGGGAGAAUGAGUAAUGAAGCAGCAGCUGGAACAGCCCAUCAGCAAAAAUAUCUCUGGGCCCAAAAGCGUACCCACAAGUUGACGUCAUGUGAUCGUUUCUCAGCAGGCAAAGCCCGGGGCUGGAUGGAUGGAUGGGGUGUAGACUUAACGCUGUUGCAUUGGGGAUUUGCUGGUGAAUAAUAUGAUGUUUGGUGAUGAGCGUUUCAUCAGGCUACAUCCGCAUGGCUGUGGUCUCAGCACGCCUCUCAAUACCCAUUACUGGGAACUGCAGGUGGGGAGAAGGUUUCUCAGCUCUGGUUCUGCUUGUGGACCUCCCACAAACUUCUGGCCGGCCGCUAUGAGGACAGCAUGUUGGAUUAGAUGGGCCUGUAGUGGUGGCUUUUGAUGCACUAACUCCCACCUCAGUCCACUCCUUGUGAAAGUCCCCAACAUGUUUGAAUGGUCCUUUCCUGACAAUCCUCUCCAGGCUGUGGCCAUCCCUGGUGCUUGUGCACCUUUUUCUUCCACACUUUCCCCUUCCGCAUAACUUUCCAUUAAUGUGCUUCGAUACAGCACUUUGGGAACAUCCAACUUCUUCUGCAAUUACCUUUUGAGGCUUUCCCUCCUUAUGGAGGUUCUCAAAGAUGGCUUUCUGCACAACUGUCAGGUCAGCAGCCUUCCCCAUGAUUGUGCUUCCUACUGAACCAGACUGAGAGACCAUUUAAAGGCUUAGGAACCCAUUGCAGGUGUUAUGGAUUGAACAGCUACUGCACGUUUUCACAAUAUUCUAAUUUUCUGAGAUUGUUAAUUGGGGGGUUUCAUCAGCUGUACGCCAUAAUAUCGCAAUUAUAACAAAUAAAGGCUUGACAUAACUCGCUUUGCAUGUCAUGAGUCUAUCUCAUAUAUUAGUUUCACCUUCUAAGUUGAAUUACUGAAAUAAACGAACUUUUCCACGAUAUUCUAAUUUUUCGAGUUUCACCUGUAUUAUCCUUCAUCAACACAGAUUGAAAUUAGUUGAUGGCCACCGAUUUGGCUACACACCAAGUAAUGCCUUCCAAACACCAGUUGCUUGAAACCACAGGAGGGGAGAAGGUCCUUGUGCUCAGGACCUGCUUGUGGGUUUCCUGGAUUAGAUGGGGCAUUGGCCUGAUCCUGCAGGCUCUUCUUCCCUUCUUAAGCAGCAACGGCAGGAAUGUAAAAUUGAAAUUGAAAUACUUUAUUGUCUCUUGUACGACUUGUAUACAGUGAGAUGACACGAGCACCCCCCACUCAGCCUUCUUAGUCUUAAUUCCCCUCGUUUGCUGACGCACACCCACCAAACCCGAAAGUCAGUUGCCCUGUUGUUAUCUUUUAAUUCAGCAGCCUAACAGCCCACGGAUAGAAGCUGUUCUUUACCCUGUUGGUGCGACUAAUCCUGCUUCUAUAUCUUCUGCCCGAGGGCAGGAGAUCAAGAAAGUGCCGGCCAGGGUGUGAAUCAUCCUUGAGUAUUUUCCUGACUCUCCUGAGGCAACGUUCUUCCGCUAUUUCAUCCAGCGGAUUCAUGGGACAGCCCAUAAUAUCUUGUGCUGUAUUCACCACCCUCUGUAGGCACUUCCUAUCAGUUGAUGUCAAACCAGCGUCCCACACCGUGAUGCAGUAGGAAAGGACACUUUCUAUUGUGGACCGGUAGAAGGAGAUCAUCAAAUGUUGAUUGACAUCGUUCUUUCGCAAUACUCUGAUGAGAUGGAGUCUCUGUUGGGCUUUCUUAACCACCUGGGUUGUAUUGAUUUUCCAAGUAAGGUCUUGGAGAUGGCAUAAAGAAUAAUGCAUAUGCAACCUUAGACUUUAGAUGGCGGGGUGAGGGGUUCAGUCGGAAAUCUCUGGCAAUCACUUCCAUCCCCUCUCAGGUGGGCACCAUUGCCACUCUAAGAGAACAGGAGAGGCGUUCAUGGUGAGUUCUGGCACUUCUUUUUUGAGAAAAAUAGCACUUCUACUAAUCUUAUUUCCACCUAAUCCUCCUUAGGUGAUCAUUAUGCAUUGUCCCUCUGAUUUCAAAAUCUGGAAUGGCAGAUGAAGCUGAUGGAUUACAUGGAAUUGGCGGAAAUGACUGGUAGAAUCCGAGACCAGGGAGAAGAGUCGGUGGAAGAAGAUUGGAAGAAAUUUAAAACUUAUUUACAGAAAUAUUCUAAAAUUAAUGAAUGUUAGAAAGAUGCUGGAAAGAAGUUAUAUGACUUUAGUAGAAAUAUUAUAAAGAAUCAAGUAUGAAUAGAUUGAUAUUGGGUAAAGAGGUAAAUUUAAAUUUAAAAUUGCGUUAAGUUAAAUUAUGGAACUAAAUUUGUGAAAGAGGGAAAGGACUUGCUGGAAUAUUUAAUUGAACUAGAAUACAAAAAAGGAGGUUUGAGGAAGUCGAGGAAAUAAGCAAAUGAAAGAUAAGGAUAUGAAAACAU